UUUGCCUUUGGCAAACAUGGUUUGCAGGGAAGAGGGCGCCCAGCCUCCCCACAGCCGCCACUGCUCCGGCUCUCCCGAGCUGUCCCUCGCUCCCGGCCCCCUCCCAGGCGCUCCCUCCCUCUCUCGCUGGCUGGCGCUCUCCUAGCAGCGCUCCCCUUGUCUACCUACCUAUCUCUCUAGAUGGGAGGGCAUAGGAUUUGGCUGAUGAGAUUGGGCUUAGCAGUGGAGAGCAAAGAGCUCAUGCAUGCUUUGAACAGGUACGCACUCAAACUUGGUAUCGUGUGACUGUUCUGAAUUCCAGAACCAAGGCUAAAAGGUGGAAGUUUUGUUUGACUAUUUGUGUGUCACAUUUUCCUUUUGGUCUAUUGUCUAACAUAUGCUGCUAGAAUUCUUUUUACUCUGACUACUUUUUAGGUGGUUAGAUGACGCUGUUAUUGACAAGAUCACACUCAAGCUGAUCAGAGAUCUGCCCAAUUCUUGCACACACAUAUAUAUAUAUAUAUGUAUAUAUAUCUGGCAUGGACUCUAUAGCUAGUAA
rnacentral:lncRNA from 1 species